UUAUUACAACUUUCAGCAAUGGAUCUCUUGGCUCUCGCAUCGAUGAAGAACGCAGCGAAUAGCGGUAUGUAAUGUGAAUUGCAGAUCUACAGUGAAUCAUCGAAUCUUUGAACGCACCUUGCGCUCCUCGGUGUUCCGAGGAGCAUGCCUGUUU
rnacentral:rRNA from 1 species